rnacentral:rRNA from 1 species
GACGAACGCUGGCGGCGUGCUUAACACAUGCAAGUCGAACGGAAAGGCCCUGCUUUUGUGGGGUGCUCGAGUGGCGAACGGGUGAGUAACACGUGAGUAACCUGCCCUUGACUUUGGGAUAACUUCAGGAAACUGGGGCUAAUACCGGAUAGGAGCUCCUGCUGCAUGGUGUGGGUUGGAAAGUUUCGGCGGUUGGGGAUGGACUCGCGGCUUAUCAGCUUGUUGGUGGGGUAGUGGCUUACCAAGGCUUUGACGGGUAGCCGGCCUGAGAGGGUGACCGGCGACAUUGGGACUGAGAUACGGCACAGACUGCUACGGGAGGCAGCAGUGGGGAAUAUUGCACAAUGGGCGGAAGCCUGAUGCAGGAACGCCGCGUGCGGGAUGACGGCCUUCGGGUUGUAAACCGCUUUCGACUGUGACGAAGCGUGCGUGACGGUAAUGGGUAAAGAAGCACCGGCUAACUACGUG